AGGCAUGGGAGCUGGGUGCAAUAUCGAGUAUUUCUCUUUUUUCAUCGAGUCGAGCUCAAGCUUGGAAUAUCAAGAUUCAAUCGAUCUCGUGUCAAGUUUCAUAUCCAAGUAUUUUGAUUGAAGUUAAUCUUGAUCUUCUAGCAUUUGACGCAGCACAGCUUGAUUGCAUUCCUAUGUAUGUUACUCUUUUUAUAACUACACUUAACUUUAUUUUUUUCUAGACAUUAUGUGGAUAAAAACACAUACAAUUGGAGUAUAUGUAGCAAAAGAGUAUAAGUAUAGCAUGACUGAAAGUGUUUAGAGUAUAGAAAUGGC
rnacentral:lncRNA from 1 species